rnacentral:rRNA from 1 species
CUACGGGAGGCUGCAGUGAGGAAUAUUGCGCAAUGGGGGGAACCCUGAUGCAGCAACGCCGCGUGGAGGAUGACGCAUUUCGGUGUGUAAACUCCUUUUAUAUGUCAAGAAAAUGACGGUAGCAUAUGAAUAAGCACCGGCUAACUCCGUGCCAGCAGCCGCGGUAAUACGGAGGGUGCAAGCGUUACUCGGAAUCACUGGGCGUAAAGGACGCGUAGGCGGGUUGGAAAGUCAGGUGUGAAAUCCUACAGCUUAACUGUAGAACUGCACUUGAAACUUCUAAUCUAGAGUAUGGGAGGGGGAGAUUGAAUUAGUGGUGUAGGGGUAAAAUCCGUAGAUAUCACUAGGAAUACCUAAAGCGAAGGCGAUCUCCUGGAACAUUACUGACGCUAAGGCGUGAAAGCGUGGGGAGCAAACAGGAUUAGAUACCCUCGUAGUC